UACAGAGGUCCCAAGCGUUGUUCGGAUUCAUUGGGCGUAAAGGGUGCGUAGGUGGCGCCGUAAGUCGGGUGUGAAAUUUCGGAGCUUAACUCCGAAACUGCAUUCGAUACUGCCGUGCUUGAGGACUGGAGAGGAGACUGGAAUUAGGUGUAGCGUGAAAUGCGUAGAGUAUCAUGAGGAAGACCAGUGGCGAAGGCGGACGUCUGACGAGCUCUUACGCUGAGGCA
rnacentral:rRNA from 1 species